GAUGAACGCUGGCGGCGUGCCUAAUACAUGCAAGUCGAGCGAACAGAUGAGGAGCUUGCUCCUCUUACGUUAGCGGCGGACGGGUGAGUAACACGUGGAUAACCUACCUAUAAGACUGGUAUAACUUCGGGAAACCGGAGCUAAUACCGGAUAAUAUAUUGAACCGCAUGGUUCAAUAGUGAAAGACGGUUUUGCUGUCACUUAUAGAUGGUUCCGCGCCGCAUUAGCUAGUUGGUAAGGUAACGGCUUACCAAGGCAACGAUGCGUAGCCGACCUGAGAGGGGGAACGGCCAAACGGGAAGUGAGAAACGGUCGAGAGACCUACGGGAGGCAGCAGUAGGGAAUCUUCCGCAAUGGGCGAAAGCAUGACGGAGCAAAGCCGAGUGAGUGAUGAAGGUGUUCGGAUCGUAAAACUCUGUUAUUAGGGAAGAACAAAUGUGUAAGUAACUAUGCACGUCUUGACGGUACCUAAUCAGAAAGCCACGGCUAACUACGUG
rnacentral:rRNA from 1 species